GAUGAACGCUGGCGGCGUGCCUAAUACAUGCAAGUCGAGCGAACAGACGAGGAGCUUGCUCCUCCGACGUUAGCGGCGGACGGGUGAGUAACACGUGGAUAACCUACCUAUAAGACUGGGAUAACUUCGGGAAACCGGAGCUAAUACCGGAUAAUAUAUUGAACCGCAUGGUUCAAUAGUGAAAGACGGUUUUGCUGUCACUUAUAGAUGGAUCCGCGCCGCAUUAGCUAGUUGGUAAGGUAACGGCUUACCAAGGCAACGAUGCGUAGCCGACCUGAGAGGGUGAUCGGCCACACUGGACCUGAGACACGGUCCAGACUCCUACGGGAGGCAGCAGUAGGGAAUCUUCCGCAAUGGGCGAAAGCCUGACGGAGCAACGCCGCGUGAGUGAUGAAGGUCUUCGGAUCGUAAAACUCUGUUAUUAGGGAAGAACAAAUGUGUAAGUAACUAUGCACGUCUUGACGGUACCUAAUCAGAAAGCCACGGCUAACUACGUG
rnacentral:rRNA from 1 species